rnacentral:lncRNA from 1 species
GAGAAUGAUUCUUGCUCUGUCACCCAGGCUGGAGUGCAGUGGUGCGAUCUUGGCUCACUGCAAGCUCUGCCUCCCGGGUUCACACCAUUCUCCUGCCUCAGCCUCCUGAGUAGCUGGGACUAUGGGCUCCUGCCACCAGUUUUUUUAUUUUUGUAGAGAUGGAGUCUCCCAAUGUUGCCCAGGCUGGUCUUAAACUCCUAGGCUCAAGGGAUCCUCCCAGCUGGGCCUCCCAAAGUGCUGGGAUGAUAGGCAUGAACCACCAUUCCCAGCCCAUUUCCUUUUUCCCUUUGCACAGUACCAGAUAUAUGGUUGGUACUGCAGAAAUAAUUUCCCCCUGCCCUCUACAUUGAUCAUUUGAUGACCAAAUAGUGUCCGUCUAGCCACUUAUUUAUGAUUUGUACAAAACAUUCCGCUUUCUGAGGUAGACAGUGAUAUUCUGAAGCCAUCAGUAAGAGUAAUUUUCAGUUUGUUGAAAGUGAACAUUCUUUGUGUAAAGGUCAGCCUGUCAGGAAAUAGCAUGCUACUCUGUUCUUUUAAAUACCUAGUGGUCUCACCAGAUGUUUUCAAAUCAGAACUGGGGCAAUCUAGUUGUAAUUUAUUUUCACAAAUUUAUGAGAAUAAGAGCUGAUAUUUUUCUUGCUUGAAUUAGCAGGUAAUUUCAUUCUCCAUUCCUCUUUAGUGGGGAAAAUCUAGCCUUUGGAUGAAAAUGUGAACCAGAGGUUCUUGCCAAGUCUGCAAAGCAGUAUAAAGAUUAGUUUUAUGAAUGAAGGAAAACACUACUCAUUUUUCUUAGGAGGCUGCUUACUUCUGCAUUUGUAUAACAUGUUUUUAGACUGAAAGCUCAUAGAGAAAAGAGAAGGAUCCUCAUUCUAGAAUAUCUGCUCCCCUGUACUUAGCAUAUUCAUAGUCUUUCAAGACUUAAUUUAUUAAAGAUGUUAAAGACUUUGACACUUGGCUUACAGUCUUUCUCCUUCACCUGAAUUCCUGCCCUCAUCCUGAGUAAAUUCAUCACCCAAGUAGACAGCCCAUCUAAUACUGUUGGGAAGGGAAGGUUAUACCGUGUUAUGGAUUAAUCUCUACCUUAUGCCAAAGUAUGGUGUUAUAAUUCUCCUUUGCAUACCCAAAAUUAACAAUAGGCUGAAUCAUUUGAUUAUCAUUCCC